rnacentral:rRNA from 1 species
AGUGAACGCUGGCGGUAGGCCUAACACAUGCAAGUCGAACGGCAGCACAGUAAGAGCUUGCUCUUACGGGUGGCGAGUGGCGGACGGGUGAGGAAUACAUCGGAAUCUACUUUUUCGUGGGGGAUAACGUAGGGAAACUUACGCUAAUACCGCAUACUACCUACGGGUUAAAGCAGGGGAUCUUCGGACCUUGCGCGAUUGAAUUAGCCGAUGUCGGAUUAGCUAGUUGGCGGGGUAAAGGCCCACCAAGGCGACGAUCCGUAGCUGGUCUGAGAGGAUGAUCAGCCACACUGGAACUGAGACACGGUCCAGACUCCUACGGGAGGCAGCAGUGGGGAAUAUUGGACAAUGGGCGCAAGCCUGAUCCAGCCACACCGCGUGGGUGAAGAAGGCCUUCGGGUUGUAAAGCCCUUUUGUUGGGAAAGAAAAGCAGCAGGUGAAUACCCCGCUGUUCUGACGGUACCCAAAGAAUAAGCACCGGCUAACUUCGUG